GGAGGUGGAGGGCGGAGGCGGAGGUGGAAGACGAUCGAUCGGGAUUCAAAUUUUGAAGGGAGGGUAUUCAGGUCAAUUGUCAACUUUUCACCUAGUUGGAACAGAAGCCCCAGCGACCUACAUUUCGGAAUGGAGGGAGUAAUACAUUUUUUUGGCAUACUGUAUUGUUUCUUGAUUGUGUUAGCCUCAAACUUUUUGCCUUGCUGUUAUGUAAUUUCACUCUUAGUUUGUUAGCCAAUUAGGUGUCAAUUACUCAGGAAAUUCAGCUUCAGUUGGUUGGGAUCAGAUGGAAGGAUGUAAACUAUACUGGAGUUAUACAGUCGUCAAUCUGUAGCUUAGCAAGGUCGGUAAUGGAAGGAGCUUGGGGUGUUUCUAAUCACAACAAGGUAACACACACAUUAAUAUUAGAUGGAGUGGAGAUAACAAAUGGGAGAACCACAAAGUGAAGGAAGACUAAGACGACUAGCAUGUUUGUGUAUCAUUUUUCCUAUUAUCCUUUGAAUUAGAUCGUCUUCCUGCUUUAUUCAUUUAAUAGCUUCAAUCCAUUAUAUCUUGGGCAAGCAAUGUGUUCUGACAUGGUUGUUGCCUUUCAAAGCAUCUUCAUUUUGGAAUCACCAUUCUUACUAUGUUUAUAUACAUUAACAUUUGACC